rnacentral:rRNA from 1 species
UACGGGGGGGGCAAGCGUUGUUCGGAAUUACUGGGCGUAAAGGGCGCGUAGGCGGCCUGCUAAGUCGGACGUGAAAUCCCCGGGCUCAACCCGGGAACUGCGUCCGAGACUGGAAGGCUUGAAUCCGGGAGAGGGAUGUGGAAUUCCAGGUGUAGCGGUGAGAUGCGUAGAUAUCUGGAGGAACAUCGGUGGCGAAGGCGGCAUCCUGGACCGGUAUUGACGCUGAGGCGCGAAAGCCAGGGGAGCAAACGGG